ensembl:lncRNA
CCCAUCCAAAUCUACAGUAAGGAAUUCCGGUCUGAACGCAAUCGGUGUUGCGAACGGGCAAGAAAAGAGGAAGAAGAUGAGCGUGCAGCUGUUGAGCCGACGCGGCACUUUCUUUCUUGUCAUUUGCAGAAGUGGCGUUCCCUUUCUCAGAGGGGAACCAUUCCAGGUUCGUCUUCCAGAAGAAGCCCCGGGGCGAUCGGUGGAGCCUUGCGUCCAGAUGUUUCUCCCUCUCAUCGGUCAGGGUUCCACGCAGCCCAACGCACUGUAGGAACCCUCCGCAGCAUGGAGACCCCCUCCCUGUCCAGCCUCCACCCUUCUGACACCCACCCACCCCUCGGGACCCUCGCCAGCUUCGCUUUACACCUUUAUUUUAGGCGAGUCCCCAGGAGAUGCAGCCCAGGUCUUUUAGACGACCAGCAGCGCUGACCCAAAAGUGCUUUUUUUUUAACAAAGUUGGAAUGGUUGAGAUCUCACUACAUGGAGAAAGACACAUGGCAGACUGUGGGGGGGCUCUGCAUCCAUUUGAUCUCAUCAAAUCACACCACGUGUCCGAGCCUCGGCUUCAGCGCUCCACCGUCACCGGGUCAAAAAACAGCAUCUCACACUGCACGUAAAGA